rfam:Homo sapiens chromosome 1, GRCh38 reference primary assembly.
GCCAGGUGUAGUAGCAUACACCUGUAGUCCCAGCUACUUGGGAGGCUGAGGUGGAGGGAUCACUUGAACCCAGGAGUUCAAGGCUGCACUGAGCCAUGAUUGUGCCACUGCACCCCAGCCUGGGUGACAAAGCGAGACUCUGUCUCAA